CCUUUCGGGAUGAAAAAUAUUGGAUUAGCGGCGGACGGGUGAGUAACACGUGAGUAACCUGCCUUUUACACAGGGAUAGCCUCGGGAAACCGGGAUUAAAACCUGAUGAAACUAUCAAAUCACAUGAUUAAGAAAGUUAAAACUCCGGUGGUAAAAGAUGGACUCGCGUCCCAUUAGCUAGUUGGUGAAGGUAACGGCCCACCAAGGCAACGAUGGGUAGCCGGCCUGAGAGGGUGAACGGCCACAUUGGAACUGAGAAACGGUCCAAACUCCUACGGGAGGCAGCAGGU
rnacentral:rRNA from 1 species